rnacentral:SRP_RNA from 1 species
UUUGGAUCUGCCGAGCCAGGAUUGGGACACUACGGACCUUGGCGAGUGGGACAUGUGCCAGUCGGGAGGAAGCAGCGUUCAGAAGGGGGCUUUCGCUCAUGUCGUUGGCGUUCUGGA